UACGUAGGGGGCAAGCGUUGUCCGGAUUUAUUGGGCGUAAAGAGCGUGUAGGCGGCCAGGUAGGUCCGUUGUGAAAAACUCGAGGCUCAACCUCGAGACGUCGGCGGAAACCCUCUGGCUAGAGUCCGGAAGAGGAGAGUGGAAUUCCUGGUGUAGCGGUGAAAUGCGCAGAUAUCAGGAAGAACACCCGUGGCGAAGGCGGCUCUCUGGGGACGGUACUGACGCUGAGACGCGAAAGCGUGGGGAGCAAACAGG
rnacentral:rRNA from 1 species